rnacentral:misc_RNA from 1 species
GGAAGUAAAAGUCGUAACAGGGUUUCCGUAGGUGAACCUGCGGAAGGAUCAUUAUUGUAUAACCGAGGUGCGAGGGCUGUCGCUGACCCGAAAGGUCGUGCACGCCCGAGUGCCUUCACACACAUCCAUCUCACCCCUAUGUGCACCACCGCGUGGGUCCCCCUUUGGCUUGUUCGGAGGGGGGCUUACGUUUUCACACAAACUUUGUAUGCAGUGUAGAAUGUAUUUUUUGUUCUUGCGAUCACGCAAUCAAUACAACUUUCAACAACGGAUCUCUUGGCUCUC